GCUCUGCUGUGGCCUAUGGCUUUUCAUUCCUAUGUGAUUGCUGUUCCAAACUCAUGUAGGGCUAAAAGCCAUGGGCUACAGUGAGGGGCGAGCUUC
rnacentral:pre_miRNA from 1 species